CACAGGGGUCUCCCAGCCUCCCACAGAGCCCCUGCUCACAGGGGUCUCCCAGUCUCCCCAUAUGGCCCUGCUCACAGGGGUCUCCCAGCCUCCCACAGAGCCCCUGCUCACAGGGCUCUCCCAGCCUCCCACAGAGCCCCUGCUCACAGGGGUCUCCCAGUCUCCCCAUAGUGGCCCUGCUCACAGGGGUCUCCCAGCCUCCCACAGGGCCCCUGCUCACAGGGGUCUCCCAGUCUCCCCAUAUGGCCCUGCUCACAGGGGUCUCCCAGCCUCCCACAGAGCCCCUGCUCACAGGGGUCUCCCAGCCUCCC